AACGGACGCUGGCGGCAGGCUUAACACAUGCAAGUCGAACGCCCCGCAAGGGGAGUGGCAGACGGGUGAGUAACGCGUGGGAAUCUACCCAAUUCUCCGGAAUAACCCAGGGAAACUUGGACUAAUACCGUAUACGCCCUACGGGGGAAAGAUUUAUCGGAAUUGGAUGAGCCCGCGUAGGAUUAGCUAGUUGGUGGGGUAAUGGCCUACCAAGGCGACGAUCUUUAGCUGGUCUGAGAGGAUGAUCAGCCACACUGGGACUGAGACACGGCCCAGACUCCUACGGGAGGCAGCAGUGGGGAAUAUUGGACAAUGGGCGCAAGCCUGAUCCAGCCAUGCCGCGUGAGUGAUGAAGGCCUUAGGGUUGUAAAGCUCUUUCAGUGGGGAAGAUAAUGACGGUACCCACAGAAGAAGCCCCGGCUAACUUCGUGCCAGCAGCCGCCGUAA
rnacentral:rRNA from 1 species